AACGAACGCUGGCGGCAGGCUUAACACAUGCAAGUCGAGCGAAUGACGAGAAGCUUGCUUCUCUGAUUUAGCGGCGGACGGGUGAGUAACACGUGGGCAACCUGCCCUACAGAUCGGGAUAACUCAGGGAAACCUGGGCUAAUACCGGAUAAUCCUUCGAAUCACAUGUUUUGGAGUUGAAAGGCGCUUCGGCGUCACUGUAGGAUGGGCCCGCGGUGCAUUAGCUAGUUGGUGGGGUAACGGCCUACCAAGGCAACGAUGCAUAGCCGACCUGAGAGGGGGAUCGACCACAUUGGGACUGAGACACGGCCCAAACUCCUACGGGAGGCAGCAGUAGGGAAUCUUCCACAAUGGACGAAAGUCUGAUGGAGCAACGCCGCGUGAGUGAUGAAGGUUUUCGGAUCGUAAAACUCUGUUGUAAGGGAAGAACAAGUACGUUAGGAAAUGAACGUACCUUCACGGUACCUUAUUAGAAAGCCACGGCUAACUACGUGCCAGCCGCCGCCGUAACAC
rnacentral:rRNA from 1 species